rnacentral:lncRNA from 1 species
ACUGGUGCUCUCUAUCUGAUGCAGCCAGACUGAAGUAUGAGCAACACUGCCUGGGGGUGAGCAGUGCACACACUGCACCACUGUCCGGGGAGGCUCUGAGUCAGAGUCAAAGCAAAGGCCUGAGAGCUCCCAUCAGAGAGGUCCCAUCUCUUGGGCUGGGCUGGGUAUGUGGUGAAAAUGGAGGCAGGAGGGUGACUCGGAACCUGGACAGCAGUGAUGGGUCCCCAUCCAUGGACACUGGAAUUUAGGGUGGAAGACUGGCAUUUGGAAAGGCAGGCUGACUUCGCUGGACUGACAGCUGGACAGAGAGCUGGCUCGGCCUUCCUUGGUGUGGGAACUGCCUGGGAGACUCAGCAUAAAGGAGCAGAGGUGGAUCGCUCCUGCAGGCAUGUGGUUCCCAAAACAGAAAAGGGGACAGGUUUACCAAAUCAGCUAAUGGAAAAAUACAGAAAGAUGCAGAAGGCUCUCUACUGGGCAUCUCUGGGAAGCACUAGGUAAGUAAAACCUGUCCUGUGUUUGAGGAUCUUACAAUCUGGUUGAGGAUCUGAGAUGUGGGGUUUCUGAGACAGGUAGAAGGACCUCAAGGGAGCAUGGGGUUCCUUCUCCCUCCCCAUUGUUCUCAUGUAAACAACCACAGCAUAAACCACCUCAAAUUGUCUUCAAAGCGACUAUCAAUCUAUAUGUCCACAUCUGUCUCUAUGUUCAUAGACACAUGUACCUCCAAAACAUAAAACAGAAAACAUGUGCAUCUUCAUUACAAAGUGAAACCAGAAAUUAACCACAUCCCAGCAUCCAUGAGGGAUUUUUGCAAAUGCAGUGUGGACAGGACUACACAGAACACAUCACUGAUUGCUAGGAAAUGCUUCACAUCCAGAGACAAAUAAUGCCUGGAAAGGAAGCUUGGCUGUGCCACACAAUAGCCCACUAGCACCCUCUCAUUCAAAAGCAUGGGCUCACAGGCACGGUGGUGCACACCUAUAAUCCUCAGCUACUCGGGAAGCUGAGAUGGGAGGACUGUUUAAGCCCAGGAGAUCAAGACCAGCCUGGGCAACAUAGCAAGACCCCUGUCUCUCUUAAAAAAAAAAAAAAAAAAAAACCUUAGCUGAGCAUGGUGGCACAUGGCUGAUGGCUGUAGUCCCAGCUACUCGGGAGGCUGAGUGGGAGGAUCUCUUAAGCCUAGGAGUUUGAGACUUCAAAGAGCUAUGAUCACACCAUUGCACUCCAGUCUUGGCAAUAGAGUGAGACCUUGUCUUUAACAAAAACAAAAAUAAAAGCAUAGGCUCUUAGGAGAUGGGGCCUACAGCCUGCCUGGAGUGCUCUAAAGCUCCUAAGUUGCCUUUCCCUCCCACCUGCACAGCAGAGGCACUAAGCUUCACCAGGGCAUGCAACUUGCUCCUGAUGAGUCGGACAUUCUAGGUAGAGAGCCAGGGGUGUGUAUAUGGUGUGUGUGUGUGUGUGUGCGCACAUGGGAAUGCAUGCAGAGGGCACAAACACUUCCCCUGGAGUCCCAUCAGCAUCUCUUCUAGGAAGUCAGACUGGUGGUCAAGAUGAGAAGACGCUCCAAGCUGCUUCUACCAACCUGCCUGUCUUGACUGACAUCCAUCUCUCAUCCCCAGGUCACCCCAACUCCCAGAUUCCUGGAUCUCCAAACUAGUCAUCUACUACCAAUGCUAGGCUGACAAAUCAAAUACAAUAUGCCCAGUUAAAUUUGAAUUUCAGAUAAGCAACACAAAUUUUUAAGUGAAAGUAUGUCCCAAAUAUCCCACGGGAUAUGCUUAUACUAAAAAAUAUUGUUAUUUAUGUAAAAUUCAAAUUUUACUGGGCAUCCUGUUUCGGUUUGUUUGUUGUUUUCCUAAAACCCAUCUCUGAAUGAUUGAUCUGGCAUAUACACUAAUCUCAGCAAGGCAUAGCCAUUAACAACAGCACAGGGCUGUGGAACAAGCCGUCUGGUUUCUAACCCUAACCCCACCACUUUCAGGCCACAGAACACUGAGCAAGUCACUUAACCUUGCUGGGCCUCAGUUUUCUCAUCUGUAAAAUAGGGAUAAUACUGAAUCCCCCUAGUAUUUUCAUUUAUUUAUUUAUUUUUGAGAUGCAGUCUCACUCUGUCACCCAGGCUGGAAUGCAGUGGCAUGAUCUCUGCCCACUGCAACCUCUGCCGCCCGGGUUCAAGUGAUUCUCCUGCCUCAGCCUGCCGAGUAGCUGGGAUUACCGGCGCCUGCCACCAUGCCCGGCUAAUUUUUGUAUUUUUAGUAGAGAUGGGGUUUCACCAUCUUGGCCAGGCUGGUCUUGAACUCCUGACCUUGUGACCCACCUACCUCGGCCUCCCAAAGUGUUGGGAUUACAGGCGUGAGCCACUGUGCCCGGCCAUAUUUUUAGGUAUUCAAAUACUGAGAGGAGGAGAAGAGGAUGACGCUCAGGCUGGGUGAGUCUGGGGAAGAACGAUGUGAGCAGAUCUGGACAGCCAAAAUAGUCAUCAUCUUUACCAUCCACCCUUCCUAAUGCAGAUGAACUUUCAAAAGAAUGCCAAGGUAAUAUAACCUAGGGGGGCUCUUCUGUUUUUUUUUUUUUCUGAACAGUCAUAAAAACACAGAAUUCAUGCAUUAUAAACAGAUAAAAUCUUCCGACAAGCUGGCAGAAUUGUAGCCCCCAAACAGCAACAUAUUAAUGGGAAAAUAGCAGGUGCACGGUUCCCACGUCAGCUUCUACUCCUGCUCCUGCUGGUUUACUUGGCAGCCACCCUGGCAGUCGUGAAAAUGACUGACACGUCUAUUUUCACAUGUUUGUAUGCCAAGAAUAAGACUGGAAGCCUUGACUGAAACAAUUGGCUUUUCUCACUGCAGGACAUGAUUGUCCAGUGUGCAGAGGGAAUGGGAGGUAGGAGGAGGUGUUGGUGCCUCUCCUCCGCUGCACUGACAGGCCCCUCUCCCUUUCCAGACCGGACCGUCCCUUGGGGAUACAGAUUUUGUUGUUAGUUCCCUUCCGACCCAUAAACACAUGUUUGUAAAUUCUACUGCCUCAUCCCUUUCUCCUUCCCCAUCCAGAUGGGUGCUGAAAAGCCAAUUUUAGUGAAUGUCAAGGGCAAUGUGAUUUGGAAAGAGAGUUGUCACCCCACCUGAGUAAUGCUCAUGGACAAGACACGGGCAGAAGUGACAUCCAGUUUCCUCAUCCACGACUUCCUAAUCGAGCCUCUACUAUGUGCAGAUGCUUCAUGUGGGCAACAUGGAGUGAACUGGACAGACGAGUGCCUGCCCUCGGGAGCUUACAUUCUAGUUGGUCAGAAAGAAAACAGACAAGGAAAGAACCAACUGAAAGAAUAUAGCUGCAUAUUUGCAAUGUUCCUGGGAGAACCACUUGUUAUUGAGUGGUGGGGCCUGGGAGACAAUGGGUUGCAUUUCGGAAAAACCAUAGACAAGUUUCUUGCUCACUGGGGACAGAGCUCAGAGUUCUCAGUUCUCCACACAGGAUCUCCUUCCAAAAAGGAAGGGAUCUGCAGACUAUGUAUUAUGGUUAAGUAACCAGAUUGUAAACUGUCACAUGCAGCUCAUAAAACCAGCCUCGAGGUUGUGCAUCAUGGAUGGAGGAAGUCCAGGUUCACAUUCCAGAGUGACCACUGAUGUUUUGUGUUCAGCAACUGGGCUUCCCAUUUCACACCAGGGUUCUUUGUUUCAUAUGUUGACAUUCGAGAGAGGAUUCUUGGAAUUAACUGUGAUGUUUGCUUGAAUCUUGUUGAGAACAUGAAUCACACAGUUUCUCAAAGGUUAUUCUUUUUCAGAAGAAAAGUUAUUUCACAGGAAGGCAGGACCUCAGGAUUUUCCAGAGCCUGGAGUCUCCUUUGCUGGCACAGAGCUGAAUUGUCAUGGCUUGAAGAUUUUCAUUUCUUACUCAAUUUAUUGGAGCAAGCCUUACGCUUGACCAGCAUCGGCAAACAGAUAGGCGGGUGUUCAGCUGGGACCCUGCAGAGAUGACUGUAGAUUCCACCAAUGUCUCUCACAGAAGGAACUCCAGGUCCAGUCCCAGGAAGGCAGGGAGAGGAGGAACAGAAAAGGCAGGGAAGUUGUCAAUCAGCUCAGGACAAGGAAGCUGGGGAUGAGGGGCCAAGCUGGAGUCAGAGCUUCAGUGGGAGCUUCAUCCUCAGCUCUUGAUAGGGCCAGGGGUCUAAGAAAAACUAUUUUGCCAUGCUCACCUCUCAGCAUGGUGUGGUUGAUCAUGUCAGGAGCGCACACGAGCUGAGGAAUUCUGAAGCUGCCUGUCAUCAAAGGAGGUCCGUGGAGUAGGGAGUAAUCUGGUGGGCUUCCUGUUGGGCUGCUGGGUGUCACAUGCUUUGCCUGCAGCAGGGCAGCUCUCAUUGCUCUGGGAGAAUUUAGGGGCAUCAGGGAUGGUCACUGGGCUUCUCCCAGGAUUUCUGGGUUUUUCCUCUUUUCUGUUCUAUUCAGUUGCUGAUCUUUGCUUUUGCUUAAGGCCCUGAAGUGAAAUUGGAGUUGAGGUGAAUCUUGUCACAAAUUGAAUUAAGACCACACCUUCAUCCUUGUGAACAAACGUUGCAAUUCUGCAACUGUGGCGACUUGGAAGCAUUCAGGGCAUUCUGUUAGCUGCCUGGGAACUGAUUAUGCAUUGGCACAAAAAUCAAUAGCAGUGACUUGGAAUCAUUCUUUCCCCAUGAUUUUCUUCUUUUAAAACAUUGUGUUUUAAUUACAUUGUACAUACUCUGGAAAAUAUAACUCAAUUUUUAAAAUCACAUAUAAAUGACCACCUAGAGCUAACCACACAAGACUUUGCUACUUAGCAUUUUCUAUCAUCCAUCUAUUUGUAUUUUUAUUCAAAAAUGGAUCAUAGUUUACAUAUUAUUUUGUAACUGUAGACUAAUACUUGACAAGGAUUGCUUCUAGCAGUGGUUUAAUUAAUUCUGCCCCAAUUUGCUUAGUUACAGACAUAUUAUACUCAGUUGUAGAUCAGAAGAUGGUUCUUAGGAAGACUUUGAGGCAAAGAGGUAGAGUGGAUUAUUGGAAAAGGGUCACGACUCCCCACAAGAGAUUGGCCACCCUGUAAUGAACUAUUUGCGUUUGCAAAUACCUCUAUCUCUGAGAUCCUAGGGUCUCAUAGAGUCUUCUCAUUUCCUACUUACAUGUCUUUGUGGAAACCACAUCAUCGAUAGCAUUUUCAGGAUAAGCAACUAUUCCAGGAGACAAGUAUGGAGGUAACUGAAUAUACUUAUAUUUUCCCCUCUCUCUUUUUUAAUGUUGAGGACAUAGCAACAAAAUCUAUUGAUUUUGUGUAUGCUGACAUCAGUUGAUUAAAGUUAGCCAGUAAUCCUAAUCCACACUGUAAUGUGAUUCUUUGUUAGUCCUUUUCCCUGUCUCAAGUGUAUUUGAGCCUCAGAAAACCUCACGUUUAGGGGUCAACUUUUGCAGGCUUGUAGAUCCAAAGUCAGGCCCCUUGUGGGUUCUGGUCAACUUUCUGCAUCAGAAUAAUGAGCCUGAGAUGUAAGAGUUGGGGUUGGCAUAGAGGGACGAAGAGUGACUACAAUGAAUAACAAGGUCAAAACAGGCUUCCAAGGUUUCCAGAACCAACCAGCCUCGGGGCUCCAGUAAGUGAUUCACAUUCCCUUCCCCUUUGUUACAAAUGUUUCUCAUUGUUGAAUACCUUUGACUUGUUAGGGCUGAGCCCUUUUCUCUAAAUAGCUGACAGAUGAGUUGUCAGUCGAAAAAAAUCUUUAAUGAGAGAAAGUACUGUUGCCUGGCUUCAUGUUCUUAAAUUAUGAUGGUAUCUCCUGUCUAAUCAGGGCAGAAAGAACGAAAAUCUCGGAAAGUUUCUUGACAGGGGACUAAAUGGCAUGGCACACAGGUGCUCUUGUCGUGCCAAGUCAGAGUUCUUCUCCAAAUGCUCUGAGAUUGAGUCCGCUCUGCAAUUAACCUUCUCCCCUAGCUGUCACUACUACAUGUCACAUCCAGUCUAUGCUGUUAUCUGCUGUGUAUUUGUGCUGAAUGGCUUUCUAGAGGUGGUCCCAGGAAGAACGGUGCAAGCAUCCCAAAGCCCUCUGCUCUGAUGGGCAAUAAAUGAAAUAGCCAGCAUAUGCCCUAGAGAGGGCGAAAAAAGUCCAUUGCAGGGGACAGUUUCUUAGAGCAAUUGACCAAGAACUUGGCACCAGGGAGGAGAACUUUACUGAUUCCAGAGUCAGAAGACAUGGAUGGAUGAUCUGUUUACAUAUUACUGAACAUUUUAUUUUCAAUAAUUUGCUAACAGUUUUGUAAUAAGCAUAUUUAUGCAUAAACUUUAUGAUAAGGAUUAUUUCCUUGGAAAAAGGCCCAAGAAGGGUUAUAUACUAGAAAGUAUUUUGAGAUUAUUUAUUUAAUUACCAGGAGAGUACUGAUUUCCUCCUAGCCAUUACUUCUUGCCAUAAAUAAAAUAUUACUCAAUGGCUCCUCAAAAUCUUCAGGGAUCCGGGCUACAUUUAUUUUUCUGCUUUGCCAUCUUUAUUUUUAGCUUGUGCCUUUCUGUCUCAUGACCACAAGAUGGCUGCUGUGCCUUCCAGGAUAUGGUAUCUCCGUUCCAGAUGGGGUGAAAGGUAGGGUUGAGGGCAAAGCUUAGUUUAUUACCCCAGGUAAGCCUUCCCCAAGGUCUUUUGCUUAUACCCUGUAUUAGUCCGUCCUUGCAUUGCUAUAAAGGCAUACCUGAGACUAGGUAAUUUAUAAAGAAAAGAGGUUUAAUUGACUCAUGGUUCUGCAGGCUAUACAGGCUUCUGCUUCUGGGGAGGCCUCUGGCAACUUACAAUCAUGGUGGAAGGUGAAGGACAAGCAAGCAUCUCUUACCUGGCAGGAGCAGGAGGAAGAGAGCGAAGAGGAAGGUGUCACACACUUUUAAACAACCAGAUCUCGCGGGAAUUCUAUCACAAGACAGCACUAGGGGGAUGGUGCUAGACCAUGAGAAACACUCCCAUUGUGUCUGGAAUUGGUGGGUUCUUGGUCUCACUGACUUCAAGAAUGAAGCCGCGGACCUUCGCGGUGAGUGUUACGGGUCUCAGAGAUGGUGUGUCCAGAAUUUGUUCCUUCUGAUGUUCGGACAUAUUCAGAGUUUCUUCCUUCUGGUGGGUUCCUGGUGGGUUUCUGGUCUCGCUGGCCUCAGGAGUGAACCUGCAGACCUUCCCGGUGAGUGUUACAGCUAAUAAGGGCAGUGGGGACCCAAAGAGUGACCAGCAGGAAGAUUCAUGGCAAAGAGCCAAAAAAAUCACAGCUUCCACACUGUGGAACAAGACCCCACUGGGUUGCCACAGCUGGUUCCGGCAGCCCGCAUUUAUUCCCUAAUCCGACCCCACCCACAUCCUGCUGAUUGGUCCAUUUUACAGAGCGCUGAUUGGUCCAUUUUACAGAGCGCUGAUUGGUCCAUUUUGACAGGGUACUGAUUGGUGCCUUUACAAACCUUUGGCUAGACACAAAAGUUCUCCAAGUCCCCACUAGAUGAGCUAGACACAGAGCACUGACUGGUGCGUUUACAAACCUUGAGCUAGACACAGGGUACUGGUUGGUGUGUUUACAUUCCUCUAGCUAGACAUAAAAGUUCUCCAAGUCCCCACUAGACUCAGGAGUCCAGCUGGCUUCACCUCGGGGAUCCCGC